rnacentral:rRNA from 1 species
CACAUCAGCUCGAGUGAGAAUACGCGCUAAACUUAAGCAUAUCAGUCAGCGCACGUAAUAACAGAAACUAACCAGGAUUCCCUUAGUAACGGCGAGUGAACUGGGAUACCAAUAUAUUUAUGCGUCUCUGGCGCAUAUUUUUAGCCCGUCGAUACUAUCCUAGCGUAUUACCGGUUUCGGCCGGUAGCCCAAUACGCGGGAAUUGUAGCAUCGUAAUAAAAUAUACACCAUGCCUGCGUCGCAAACGUAUAUACACGUAUACUCACACACACACACAUACUCUCGUACGCGUACACACCCCUUGCAAACACACAGCGCUCCCGCGUUGGAAAGCAAGUCUAUAUCCUCUUUGGAUAUGCCAUAGAGUGUGACAGCCACGUUUGAAACACCCUUACGUACCGUACACACACAUACGUAAAAAUACGCGCUGCUUCGCAUACGCAUACCGUAUAUAACCUGAGUCGAGUUAUUUGGGACUAUAGCUCUAAUAGUUUGGUUGGUGGUAAUGACACAUCAAAGGCUAAAUAUUGGUUAGUCGAUGCAUUUUGCGGAGACCGAUAGCAUACAAGUACCGUAAGGAACGAUGAAAAGCACCCUAUUAAGUUCACGGCGUCGGCCGCGUACAAUUCGUUGUACAACGCCGCGCCCAACAACUACAGUGGGAGUGAAAGAGAGAGUGAAAUCGCCUAUACAUAUAAUAUAUACUACGCGGCGUAUACACACACACAUAUACCCCCCUCGUAUUAUAAGUCUGCGUUAGUACAAUCGGACAGAGUGUCGUAUUAUAGCCGCCUAAUAUACAGUUUCUAAUUGUAUAUUAUGGCUUUGGCUCAUAGCGCGCUUCGGCCGCUAUACGCGACACAACUGUACGACCCGUUUUUGAAACACGGACCAAGGAGUUCAACUGGAUUACGAGUCGUCGAGUGUAUUCAUUUAUACUCACACGGCAAAGCGAAAGCAAUCUUAAUCCUGUGCUAGGUUGGCGCCUUUGUGCGCUAACCGCAGCACGCGCUGAGUAAGUAUACGCGUGAAACCUUUCUAAGGUGACGCGCGUACCUUAGAGAGUCAAAUCGCUAAGGAUUACUCAAGCGUUCAACGAGUAUAUCUUGUUGAGACCCGAAAGAUGGUGAACUAUGCUCGGAUAUGGCGAAGUCAGGUGAAAACUUGAUGGAAGCUUGCGUUGUGCGGAACUGACGUGCAAAUCGUUACCGCCUAACCUGAGUAUAGGGGCGAAAGACUCAUCGAACCAUCUAGUAGCUGGUUCCCUCCGAAGUUUCCCUCAGGAUAGC